rnacentral:lncRNA from 1 species
AUUUUUUACCCAAAAAUGAAAUGAUUGCAGAAAAAAUGGACAAACCUAAUUUUUUGAUAUUAUAAUGAUUUAUGAAACUAUAUAUGCUCAAAUUACACCACGAAGAAUAAUUUUUUUGUGAGACCUUCCUUCUUUGUAAAAUCUCUAUUUUAGUGCGAAUUAUGUAGGUCAGUCGAAAUUGGGACUGUCACGUAACGUUGCACUGAGCAAGUGACUCGAGAGCGUUUUUCUCGGUAAAUCUUGCAUUUCGGUUGAAAAUAUGGAAUGUUCAGCUUUUCAAGUGUAUAUUUAUAGUAUACAGUGUGUCACUGUCAUAGUGAGAGCUGUUAUGGAAAACAAUACAUGAAGAAACGACAUCGGUGCUGCAGAUAGACCAUAUCGCUGCUAUAACAUGGUUUCAGACUGGAAAAUUUUGCCGUUUGCCUUUCAAGUUACAUAGCUUUGGGUUUGCAGACUAAAAGUUUUAGUGAAAUGCUGACAGCAUACAGGUCUAUCCCUGCCUAAGCUUUAGCAUGAGAAUGGACUUGAUGGCAUGAAAUGAAAAGAUACCAGUUAGAAGAUUCCUGAAUUUCAUAUCAGCUGACAAUAAGGGAAGAGGUGUUCUAGUCAAGACCAGGGAAAAUUUAUUUCCACACAAUUUUGUGUGAUGGUGCUGUUGAUGCAGGUGUGACUGAACAAGAGAUGGUGUUUUGUAGAGUCUUGGAUAUUAUUUACCCUAGAAACCUUUCUCAUAGCAGACUAGUUCUGGAACAUUAUUUUCUUCCAGUAUUAAACAAGAUGGGCUUUGACCCAAAAGACUUCCAUUGAGAGUGGCCUGCCUUUAAAGAGUACAUAGGUGGCAGGUUUAUAGUGAAUUAAAAAAAAAAAAGACGUGUACCGAUUUGUUUCAAGGCUAGGAGACCAGACAAAGAUUAGAAUACAUACAAUAAUGCUAACUGAAAUUGCCUUGUUCAGCCUGUCCACUUCUCAGGUGGAGAGAGGAUACAGUGCUCUCAAAAGAAUCAAAUCUGACUGGAGGUCAAGUUUGGGGAAUAUUAUGCUUAAGUUAACAAAUUUUUGACGGCAGUUUUAAGGGGCCAAGUUUUGAUGAUCAUUUAGUCAAGGAAUCUAUCAACCACUGGGUGGCAGGGAAAACAGCACAAUUUUGAACUUGAAAAUUGGUUUAGUUUUCUGAUUGUCAUAUCCAGGUAAAUGACCUGACCAUUGAAGAUUCUAGGGAAAUAAAAAAUUGAAACAUACUCGUAUACAAUACUGAAGUUUUUUUUUUUUUUCAUUUUUAAUGCAUUUUACUUUGAUAUGUAGACUAUUUAAUUACAAAUUAUAUUUAAGAAUUUUCAGCUGGGGAGGAUCUUAUUUGUAUGUCAGUUUUGGCUAAAGUAAUAUUCAUGACUUGAUGGGGCAGGUGCUUCUCCUGCCCCCAGAAUAGACAGAUCAAGUUUGCCAAAUAGUUUAUUGCAGCCUUGUUAACUGCUUUGAUUUAAAAGGCAAACUUUGAAAAAGUUCAGUGCAUAUUCAUGAGGCUGAAUGAACAUUUCCCAGGAACAGUGUUUUAAGGACACAAGUUUACUUAGUUUUGUUUAUUACACAGAUUUUAAUAUUUUGCAUAAAUAGAUUAGGGAUUUUUUCAAAUCAUAAUUGGAAGGGUCUCAUUUUAAAUAGUUUAAUAUGUAAGAGACAAAAA